GCUGUUGACGGGCCGUGGGGUUGGUCCCUGGGCCCGCUCUCAGUGUUCCGCAGCCACUAGAGGAUGACUUGGGACAGAGUCCCAGGUUCUGGAGCACACUUAGGAAAUUCUGCCGACAUGCACGCAGCAACCACAUGGGAUCUUCUCAUUUCUGUUGUAAAAACUACCUGUAAAGACACAGAUGCACACCAAGGGCACCGAGAUUGAAUGCUACUGGAACCAUUUCCUCACAGAGUAACAUUUUACCAACUACUAAUGUAAUCUCAAGAGAGGCCGUGCACGCUGCUGAAUCAAAACUGUUCUUUAAUGCAAAUUAUCCGUGGUACGUUGUUUUGAACAAAGGAGAAACUGGCAAUAUGUGAAGUUGUGUGCUGUUAGAAGGCCUGUCCCUGCUUAAAACAAAUGAGAAGUGACUUUGAAAGCCGGUUAGAUGUGCGGAACACUUUAAAAGAAUUUAGGAAUACACUUAUUUAUAGUUUAUUGCCAAGUUGGUUUCAAUAUGACACGCAGUGCCCUUCCCCACAAGUGCCCUCCUCCAUGACCAUCACCCAUGAAUACACUUCCUGAAUUCGGAAAAAAAGGUAUUGGAAAUACUUCUAUUUGGGGAAUAAAUCAAAGUUUGGAAUUUCAAA